rnacentral:lncRNA from 1 species
ACUGCAAAAGCAAAUCGGAUCGCCCGCGGGAUUCUCCCAUCUGCCCGCCUGGUCUUCCAGGCUGGAGGUGCUCCAUUAACUGGAGCUGGGGAGGGUAAGAGACGAGGGGGUAGCCGGCGAUUCCCGGGCGAAGUUGAGAGCCGUGCCUGGGCGGGAAGUAAAUUUUGAACUUUAGCCCUGGACCUUUCCGGGAGGACCCCCAGCGCACGAGCGGUGGCUUCCCGCCCUGAAGGGCCGACGGCAGCUGCAAGGACUCCAGCGGCGCUCUUGGCAGCCGCCUCCGUGACAGGGACUAGGAGGAAGCCGAGGAGUUUUCCUGGGAAGUUUGAUUUGACUCUGUGGGAAUUUCCGGGCAGGGCGCCUUGGCGCUGACGCUGGUGAAGGGGUCUGGCGAAAGACAGCCGGAGAAGAUGCUGCUGCUCUGGGCGGAGUUUCCAGAGACCCUGCUUUCUACUGUGCUCCCUUGGGAAGUGGCACUGGAGAUGCUGAGAUUCAGCUUACUUUGGUCCUAAUUCCCCACCUAUGGGCCGCAUGAGCUUGGACAAGUCCCUUGACUUUUCUAGAUUUUUCCCGUGUGCAAAAUGGGCAGUUAUGCCCACAUCUUUGAAACUGGCAACUAAUGAUCAGUUAAGGUAUACUGGUUUGGAAGGUAUGAACUUCAGGAGGGUGGUUGGAUCGCUCAAAGUGUAGCUUAGUGGUUAAGAGACAAGGCUCUGGGAUUGGAGAUAUGAUCUUAAGAGGUUUAACCUUACUGCUCUUGUCUUAGUUUGCUCACCUGUAAAAUGGGUUUAAUAUGAACAGUACCUACCUCACAGGGUUGUCUUGAGGAUUAAAGUUCUUAAUAAAGUGAAGCUCAUACAAUAAAUAAAUGGUACCUGGUAUGUAGUGAGUGCUGGAGAAAUGUGCUCUGUUAUUGCCAUUAUUACAUAACUGACCUUGCAGAGAACCCAGAAAAGCAUUUUGAGGUUGCUCUCAUUUAAUCAAUUAAUAAUUGUCCACUUCUGGAAAGGAUGAAACCUCAACCUUCUCCCCACCCUUUCCUGAUUUAGCACCUCCCACCCUCCCUACUGCUUGUUUAGUUCCAUCUUGUGAAGUCUUUCAUCUUUUCUUUCUCCUUUCUCCCUUCUUCCCUCCCUCCCUUCACAGUUUUGGUGAAAGGCACUUCAUUCUCCCCUUUUCUUCAUUCUUAAAAAUCAUUCUUGGCCCAACUUCCAUGUUCUCUCAGUGGAAAUCAGGCUCCAGGAAGGAGCAUAUCCAUGAGCGUGUCCCCUGAGUGUCCUGGCCUGGGCUGCUGGCUCAGGAUUGGAUGUGCAUUUGUGUCUCUGGGGCCGAUGAAUUUCUGGAGAGAGGAGCUCAGGUGUCUGGGGCCCCGGGGAAGAGUCAGGUGGGAUGGGCUGAGGAUGUUCCUUGGGGAGCUCUGCUGCCUAGGUGGCAUCUGUGUCUCCUGCUGCUGGGGCUCUCUUGGGAACCUGGCAUAUCCCAGCUGCUUGGGCAGAGUGGAUGUGGGAGGAUGUAGGGUAAGUAAGGGGCAAAAGUUUUACCUUCAGUUUUCCACUGAGAGCGUUUACUAGGAAUUUGGUUUUGUCCAAGCUGCUUAUCUGAUUCUGGACAAAUGCACAACACAUGUAAGAGACAGUGAGGAAGAGCAGGCAGCCGCCGUCCACCCACCUGUCUUGGCCAAUGGGCUCCUCUCUCUCCUUUCUCUGACCCAGUCACACUGCCCCAGGCCUGGGAGAGGAUGGCCAGGAGGUAGGUUCUUGGUGUCUGGAGAUCCUGGGAGUGGGCUGUCAGUGAUGAGACCAGCAUUGCAGCCACCUUCAUUCAUCUCUUUAACAGAAAUUUGUUGAGCUACUAUUAUGUGCCAGGCCCUGUGUGAGGUAGCAGGCCUUCAUGAAUGAACAAGACAGAUCAUGUGCUUGCCUUCAGGGAACCUUCUUUCUAGAGGGAGGAGACUGGCAAUAAAUAACUGGAAAUAAGUAACCAAGACAAUAUUAGAUCCUAUGUGAUGUGAAAGAAAUAGGACACAGGGAUGUGACAGAGAGGAGGAGGCCAGUGACAGCCGCCCUGGGAGAGGCUCGCUCAGCUGAAGCCUGAAUGAUGCCAAAGGACCCACUGCACAAAGAUCUGAAGGAAGGAGAUUCAAGGCAGAAGGAACAGCAAAAGAAAAAUCCUUGCAGCCAGAACAGAGUUUGCAUCAGCAGUGGAGCUGGAGAGAGAGACUAGAGAAGCCAGGUGGCCCAGAGCCUGGUCAUGUGGGACCCAGUAGGACUAGUUAGGAGCCUGGAUUUCAUGGCCAGGGCGAUGGGAAGCCACUGGAGAGUUUUAAGUAGGGGAGUGACAUGAUCUGAUGUAUGGUUUUUAAAAGAUUAUUUGGUACAUGGGGGUGGGAGCUUAUUUGGUAAUCAGAGUUGUCCCAGGGGAGGGAAAUGGUGGCUGAGGGAUGAGGGAGAGAUGGUGUUUUCACUAUAGAAGCUUUUGUCCUUUUUGAAUGUAGGACCACGCACAUGUAUCACCUAUGCCAAAAACAAUCACCCCCCCCAAACCAAAAAACAUAGUUAAAAAAGAAUAAUAGCUUAAGCCUGGAAAAUGUGUAUAAUAAAAAG